rnacentral:tRNA from 1 species
CAAAACUUAACAUAAAUUAAUGUGUCUCACUUACAUUGAGAAAAUAAUUAGAUAGUAAUUAGUUUUGA